UACCUGGUUGAUCCUGCCAGUAGUCAUAUGCUUGUCUCAAAGAUUAAGCCAUGCAAGUCUAAGUACGAGCUCUCGUACAGUGAAACUGCGAAUGGCUCAUUAAAUCAGUUAUGGUUCAUUUGAUCGUACAGUUUACUUGGAUAACUGUGGUAAUUCUAGAGCUAAUACAUGCGAGAAGCGCCGACCUCGCGGGAGGCGUGCAUUUAUCAGACCAAAAACCGGCCGCGUCUUCGGGCGCGUUCGCCUUGGUGACUCUGGAUAACUUUGCGGAUCGCACGGUCUAGCACCGGCGACGGAUCAUUCAAGUGUCUGCCCUAUCAACUUUCGUCGGUACGGUAUUUGCCUACCGAGGUUCUUACGGGUGACGGGGAAUCAGGGUUCGAUUCCGGAGAGGGAGCCUGAGAAACGGCUACCACAUCCAAGGAAGGCAGCAGGCGCGCAAAUUACC
rnacentral:ncRNA from 1 species